CCGAGUUGAUUCGAGCUCCGGCUCGACUCUCCCACCCAAUGUGUACCUACCUCUGUUGCUUUGGCGGGCCGCGGUCCUCCGCACCGGCGCCCUUCGGGGGGCUGGCCAGCGCCCGCCAGAGGACCAUAAAACUCCAGUCAGUGAACUUCGCAGUCUGAAAAACAAGUUAAUAAACUA
rnacentral:misc_RNA from 2 species